CGGUGGGAGGGGGAAGGGAGAUUAGGGUUUGGGGGUGGGGGAGAUUGGGGAAGAUGAUGAUGUGUGUGUUUUUUUUUGUUUUUUUUAUUAUUUUUUUUCCACAUGUCAAUAAUUAGCCUAGGUGUCAAUUUCCGGCUGCUACAGUGUUAAUUCCGGCUGCCACAUAAUCAAUUCCGGCGCCGGCGUGAAAAAAAACCGGUCAUCGGACAAAAACCAGACAAAAAGGAAAGGUUAGGUAUUUAAAAGAAGAAAAAUAAAAAAAGGUGCAAAAAUCAAUUCCGUGGAAACGUUAGGAAUUUACAGGCAA
rnacentral:lncRNA from 1 species